CAAAGGCUUGGUCCUGGCCUUUCCAUUUGUUAUUAAUAGAUUUACACAUGCAAGAAUCCCCACCCCUGUGAAAAUGCCCUCUAAACCAUUUACCGGUACAAAGGAGCUGGUAUCAAGCACACUAGAAAGUAGCUCAUAACGCCUUGCUCAGCCACACCCCCACGGGAAACAGCAGUGACAAAAAUUAAGCAAUAGACGAAAGUCUGACUAAGUCAUAUUAUUUAGGACUGGUAAAUCUCGUGCCAGCCACCGCGGUCAUACGAUUGGGCCAAAUUAAUGGACAUUCGGCGUAAAGAGUGUAUUAGAGCUUAAACAAUUAAUAAAGUCAAACUAUAACUAAGCUGUAAAAAGUCCUAGUUACUGUAAGACAAAUGACGAAAGUAACUUUAAAAAAUCUGACUACACGAGAGCUAAGAUCCAAACUGGGAUUAGAUACCCCACUAUGCUUAGCCCUAAACAUAGAAAAUUAAAAACAAAAUUAUUCGCCAGAGUACUACUAGCAAAAGCUAGAAACUCAAAGGACUUGGCGGUGCCUUAUAUCCUUCUAGAGGAGCCUGUUCUGUAAUCGAUAAACCCCGAUAUACCUCACCAACCCUUGCUUAAUCAGCCUAUAUACCGCCAUCUUCAGCAAACCCUAAAAAGGAAUCAUAGUAAGCACAAGCAUAAACAUAAAAACGUUAGGUCAAGGUGUAGCCUAUGGGCUGGAAAGAAAUGGGCUACAUUCCUCGAUUCGAGGAACAUUUUUACGAAAACCUAUGUGAAAACAACAGUUAAAGGUGGAUUUAGUAGUAAAUUGAGAAUAGAGUGCUUAAUUGAAUAAGGCCAUGAGGCACGCACACACCGCCCGUCACCCUCCUCAAACAAAAAAUGUUAAGCAUUAUAUUAAAACUCAGACAUUAACUCGUAAGAGGAGAUAA
rnacentral:ncRNA from 1 species